GCCUUGUAAUUUUGGGGUGUGAGUUUUCUUUUUGGGUUUACUGUGGCGGUGGUGGGGGCUGGUCCGACGGGGUAUGGUGGUGGGCUGGGAGACUGGUGGUCUGUGUACGGUGGUGGGGUGUUGUCCAGUUAGUUGGCGUCUCUCCACUCUUUUCCAAAAGCGAAGGUCUCCGUUCUGGUGCUCUCCAACGACGAAGAUGGUGCUGGCUGGGGACCACGGUAGAGGCAAGCGGUGGGGAUCAUCAUGUGCACAUGUCGGUCGAGUUAUAAAAUAAAGGUUAUGAAGAUGUUGAAUUCGUGUUUUUGGAACUUUGAGUGAGCGAUGAUGACUUCGUUUCACCACCUUUGGAUUUCCAAGCGAGAUUGCAGCAAGACCUGCUGUGGAAUGCCCCCGAUGAUGAUUCAUCGUCUGAAGAGGAGUCUCGUGGUGAGCAGCUUGCACACGGAUACGUUUGAUUGUGCGGCCAUCAUCUUGUGCACAUUUUAGUUUUUGAUGCUACUGUAAUGGGACACGAAUAGUUGUUAAGCUAUGUUUUUGGGUUCGUUGUGUUUCUUGUGAGUGUUUUGGUGGUUUAUAUCGGUGUCAACUAGUGUUCUCUCUUUGUUUCACUAAUUUUGGACCCCCUUUUAGUUGUGGAGCGUUGCCUAUGUCCUCCUCCAUGUUUGCACAUUUAUUUUUAAUUGUGUGAACGUCUAUUGUCUUA